GCCUACGUAGCUCAGAUGGUAGAGCACAUCCUUGGUAAGGAUGAGGUCAUCGGUUCAAUCCCGAUCGUAGGCU
rnacentral:tRNA from 1 species